CUACGGGCUGCUCCAGUAGGGAAUAUUGGUCAAUGGACGCAAGUCUGAACCAGCCAUGCCGCGUGAAGGAUGAAGGCCCUAUGGGUCGUAAACUUCUUUUAUUAGGGAAGAAAAAAUAGGAUGCGUCCUAUACUGACGGUACUUAAUGAAUAAGGAUCGGCUAACUUCGUGCCAGCAGCCGCGGUAAGACGAAGGAUCCAAGCGUUGUCCGGAUUUACUGGGUUUAAAGGGUGCGUAGGCGGAAAAUUAAGUCAGUGGUGAAAGCCCGCAGCUCAACUGUGGAACUGCCAUUGAAACUGGUUUUCUUGAAUAUAGCUGAGGCAGAUGGAAUAUAACAUGUAGCGGUGAAAUGCUUAGAUAUGUUAUAGAACACCGAUUGCGAAGGCAGUCUGCUAAACUAUUAUUGACGCUGAGGCACGAAAGCGUGGGGAGCGAACAGGAUUAGAUACCCGUGUAGUC
rnacentral:rRNA from 1 species